GACGGAGGAGGCUAGCGUUGUUCGGAAUUACUGGGCGUAAAGCGCGCGCGGGCGGUUAUGCAAGUCCGGGGUGAAAGCCCGAGGCUCAACCUCGGAACGGCCUUUGCGACUGCAUGACUAGAGACCGGGAGAGGAGAGUGGAAUUCCCAGUGUAGAGGUGAAAUUCGUAGAUAUUCGCAAGAACACCAGUGGCGAAGGCGGCUCACUGGCCCGGUACUGACGCUGAGGUGCGAAAGCGUGGGGAGCAAACAGG
rnacentral:rRNA from 1 species